rnacentral:rRNA from 1 species
AACGAACGCUGGCGGCAUGCCUAACACAUGCAAGUCGAACGAGACCUUCGGGUCUAGUGGCGCACGGGUGCGUAACGCGUGGGAACCUGCCUUUAGGUUCGGAAUAACUCAGAGAAAUUUGAGCUAAUACCGGAUGAUGUCUUCGGACCAAAGAUUUAUCGCCUUUAGAUGGGCCCGCGUUGGAUUAGCUAGUUGGUGGGGUAAAGGCCUACCAAGGCGACGUUCCAUAGCUGGUCUGAGAGGAUGAUCAGCCACACUGGGAAUGAGACACGGCCCAGACUCCUACGGGAGGCAGCAGUGGGGAAUAUUGGACAAUGGGCGAAAGCCUGAUCCAGCAAUGCCGCGUGAGUGAUGAAGGCCUUAGGGUUGUAAAGCUCUUUUACCCGAGAUGAUAAUGACAGUAACGGGAGAAUAAGCUCCGGCUAACUCCGUG